rnacentral:rRNA from 1 species
UGUAAUGCCUACAACGUUAAUGCACCAAAUCCCGUUAGAACUCCCCAUCCUAUUAGAACUCCAUAGUUAAAUGCGCUUAGGCUAGAGUAGUAGUGGGAUGGGUGAUUUCCUAGGAAGUCCUAGUAUUUUACAU